rnacentral:rRNA from 1 species
CAGGGAAUCUUCCGCAAUGGACGAAAGUCUGACGGAGCAACGCCGCGUGAGUGAUGAAGGUUUUCGGAUCGUAAAGCUCUGUUGUUAGGGAAGAACAAGUACCGUUCGAAUAGGGCGGUACCUUGACGGUACCUAACCAGAAAGCCACGGCUAACUACGUGCCAGCAGCCGCGGUAAUACGUAGGUGGCAAGCGUUGUCCGGAAUUAUUGGGCGUAAAGGGCUCGCAGGCGGUUUCUUAAGUCUGAUGUGAAAGCCCCCGGCUCAACCGGGGAGGGUCAUUGGAAACUGGGGAACUUGAGUGCAGAAGAGGAGAGUGGAAUUCCACGUGUAGCGGUGAAAUGCGUAGAGAUGUGGAGGAACACCAGUGGCGAAGGCGACUCUCUGGUCUGUAACUGACGCUGAGGAGCGAAAGCGUGGGGAGCGAACAGGAUUAGAUACCCUGGUAGUCCACGCCGUAAACGAUGAGUGCUAAGUGUUAGGG